UACGGAGGGAGCUAGCGUUAUUCAGAAUUACUGGGCGUAAAGCGCACGUAGGCGGCUUUGUAAGUUAGAGGUGAAAGCCUGGAGCUCAACUCCAGAACUGCCUUUAAGACUGCAUCGCUUGAAUCCAGGAGAGGUGAGUGGAAUUCCGAGUGUAGAGGUGAAAUUCGUAGAUAUUCGGAAGAACACCAGUGGCGAAGGCGGCUCACUGGACUGGUAUUGACGCUGAGGCACGGAAAGCGUGGGGAGCGAACAGG
rnacentral:rRNA from 1 species